GCCCAACCCCGCGGCGGCAGCCGCGCCGCCGGCCCGGCCCGGCCCCUCCCGGCCCCCCGCCGCGCUGACCAUCGCUGCGUUUGAUCUCCACGUAGAUCCCGAUCUGGAUCUUGCCGAAGUUGGCCGCUGCCAUCGCUUCAUGGGGGUCGCUGCUGGCAGGUGGAGGAGCUUACAGGACGAUGCUGCGGAGCAGCUCCCCCACCUGACUGCAGCUCUCGAAGCUGAGUAAGGCCGCGCUGACAGCAGCAUCCCUCUGUCCCCGCCCCACCGCUGCCCGGUGCUCUGUCUCGUUGUGGAACAAAGCACAGUGCGCGUUCGUCGUUUCAGAGCAGUGACCAUGAUGCCAAACGAAGUGGAGACGCCGUCUCCUGGGUUUCUCCUUGUGGUUCCAAUUGCUGCAAAGCCACGGUGGAUUAACAUUGCCCUUCCCGCACAGCUUUCUGGUCACCUUGAGCAGCAUCACAAUAAAUACCCCUUAGCACACAGCCUCUUCUUUCCCCAGCAAAGCCCAUCUAUUAAAAAUAAUCCCCCCAAUCCACACUCCAGACGGUAAUGCCUAACGAGGGCUGACACCUUACUGAGAGCCGCAGGCCACGGCCCCUCAGCCUCUGAGCCCACAGCUUCCCUGUCUCCACUUUCAGACCUGCACUGAAACCAGAGCAACCCGCUUGGCAUUCAUGACUUUUGGCCCCUGCAGGCCUUCAGAAAGCAUGUAUACAAGUGCACACGGAACAGAGCCAGAGAGGAACUGGCAAAAGGUUAAACAGCAGUAACUGUCUUGCACAAACUUGGUUGCUUGGUUGCAAUUUGUGUUGGCAUCUGUUCUGGUGUAGAACACCCUUUUGGUGAACUGCUAAUGAAAAAAAAACCAACAAGAUAAAUAAAAAUAUAGAGCUGUUUUUUUCCUUAAUGCUUUAUAAGUUUUAAAAACUUACUCUUGCCCCUCAUUUUUUAUAUGAGAAAUUUAAAUCUUGAGUCACAUUCUCCAUGGAAAGCAUUACUCGAUACGGUUAUGCUGGAAUUAUGAUACUAAAGGCAGUAAGAAUUUAUUUUGACUUUUUAGUUUGUUCAGAGUCAAUUUAAUUUACACUAUUUACAAAUACAAAGUAAUAUUGCAUUGAAAAAUAGUGAUGCUGAGUGGUGCAGUCAAUACAAUAGAAGAAAGGGAUGCCAUCCGCUUGGACACCCAUGAGAACCUAAUGGGGUUCAGUACGGCCAGUGGGUCAGGGAAAUCCUAGAUAUAAGUAUGAACAGGGAAAUGAACUCUUUGUGAGCAGCCCUGCCCAGGACUUGGGGGUCCUAGUGGGCAAAAAACAGGAUGAGAGUCAGCAGUAUGCAUUUGCAGCCUGGAAGGCCAACGGUAUCCUGGGUUGCAUCAACAGAGGGGUGGCCAGCCUGGAGAAGGAGGGGAUUAUCCCUCUCUGCUCUGCCCUUGUGAGGCCCCAUCUGGAGUACUGUGUCCAGGCCUGGGGCCCCCGGCUCAAGAAGGAUGUGCAGCUGUUGGAGUAGCUCCAGAAAAGGGGUGCAAAGAUAAUCAGGGUGCUGGAGUACCUCUCCUAUGAUGAAAGGGAGUUGGGAUUGUUUCACUUGGAGAAGAGAAGGCUCUGGGGAGACCUCAUUGUAAUCUUCCAAUACCUGAAAGAAGCUUGCAGGCAAGAGGGGGACUGAUUUUUUAUGCAGGUUUAUAGUGAUAGGACAAGGGGAAACAGACUCAAAAGAGAAGAGGUUUAGGCUAUAUGUUAGGAACAAAUUCUUCACUACGAGGGUGAUGGGGCACAGGCACAGGCUGCCCAGAGAAGCUGUGAAUGUCGCAUCCCUGGAGGCAUUCAGGACCAAGCUUGUUGGGUUCCUAGGCAGUCUGAUCUGGUGAGUGGCAGCCCUGCCCAUGGCAGGGGAGUCGGAACUAAAUGAUCUUCAAGGUUCCCUGCAACCCAAGCCAUUCUGUGAUUCUAUGAAAAUUAUCUGAUACAAGUAAUAUGAUGUAUUUGAGAAGGCCUCUUCUGAUUACAACAGAGCUAAGGAUAUGCAUGUUCUUUUUAACCUAUAGGUGUUUUUAGAAUUAAAUGAAGAUGCAACGGAUGUUUUAGACCUUUGUAAAAAUUAGACAAAGGCUGACACUGAAUUAAAAACUAAUUUUUUUCUUCUACUCACCGUACUCCAUGGCACAUCAGGAAUUUGCACUGAAGUUUUAUACUGUUGGUUUUGUGCAGUUUUUACUACAUGGAUUGUAUCAUUAUUUAAAACUACCCUCCUGCUAGACAUGGGACUUUAUGAAUAAUAGCACUGUGCUAUACUAUCAGAAAGUGAUAAAAAGAAGAGAACUGCCAUAUUUGUAGAGAUAAAAUAUAUUAAUCCAUUCUCCAUUUGAUGUAUAAUGAAAUAUAAAAAUCUGAUUUUCAUGUAACAACAUCUGAUGAUAAAUUUUGCUCUACUGAAAACUUUACAUAGCCUUACCUGGGAGUUCAAGUGUUCAAAAAAAUCACUCAAAAUCUU